rnacentral:rRNA from 1 species
AGGUGCUGCAUGGCUGUCGUCAGCUCGUGUCGUGAGAUGUUGGGUUAAGUCCCGCAACGAGCGCAACCCUUGUCCUUAGUUGCCAUCAUUUAGUUGGGAACUCUAAGGAGACCGCCGGUGACAAACCGGAGGAAGGUGGGGAUGACGUCAAGUCAUCAUGGCCUUUAUGGCCAGGGCUACACACGUGCUACAAUGGCAGGUACAGAGGGAAGCCAACGCGCGAGCGGGAGCCAAUCCCAGAAAGCCUGUCGUAGUCCGGAUCGGAGUCUGCAACUCGACUCUGUGAAGUUGGAAUCGCUAGUAAUCGCAGAUCAGCAUUGCUGCGGUGAAUACGUUCCCGGGUCUUG